rnacentral:rRNA from 1 species
UACCCCGGAAGGGGAGUUAAAAGUUCCUGAAACCGCGUGCCUACAAACCGUCGGAGCCUCGGUUCGCCGGGGUGACGGCGUGCCUAUUGGAGAAUGAGCCGGCGAGUAAAUCUCAGUGGCAUGGUUAAGCAAGGAGACUUGCGCAGCCGUAGCGAAAGCGAGUCCGAAUAGGGCGUUUCCUUCGGGAACGUCGCUGGGAUUUGACCCGAAACCUGGUGAGCUACCCAUGGCCAGGGUGAAGCCUCGAUAAUAUCUAGGUGGAGGCCCGAACCAUUUGACGGUGCAAAGUCUCUGGAUGAGCUGUGGGUAGAGGUGAAAUGCCAAUCGAACCAGGAGAUAGCUGGUUCUCCCCGAAAUGCAUUUAGGUGCAGCCUCAGGAAAGGUCUCUUGGAGGUAGGGCACUGGAUGGGCUAGGGGGCACAACGCUUACCAAACCCAACCAAACCACGAAUGCCAAGAGAUAAGCCUGGGAGUGAGCCCGUGGGGGAUAAACUUCACGGACGAAAGGGAAACAACCCAGACCACCGGCUAAGGUCCCCAAGUGUGGGCUAAGUGGGAAAGGAUGUGGGACAGCCCAGACAGCCAGGAGGUUGGCUUAGAAGCAGCCAUCCUUUAAAAAGUGCGUAACAGCUUACUGGUCGAUGCUAUCCUGCGCCGAAAAUGUAACGGGGCUCAAGCCCAUCACCGAAGCCGUGGUUCCGAAUGAUUCGUCAUUCGGAAGGUAGGGGAGCGUUCCGUUCAGCGGUGAAGCCAGACCGUGAGGCCUGGUGGAGCGGACGGAAGUGAGAAUGCCGGCACGAGUAGCACAAGGCGAGUGAGAAUCUCGCCCACCGAAUGCCUAAGGUUUCCUACGGAAGGAUCGUCCGCGUAGGGUUAGGCGGGCCUAAGGCUAAGACGUAUAGUCGUCCCGGAUGAUUCGUCAUCCGGGAGGUAGGGGAGCGUUCCGUUCAGCGGUGAAGCCGGGCCGUGAGACCCGGUGGAGCGGACGGAAGUGAGAAUGCCGGCACGAGUAGCAACAGGCGAGUGAGAAUCUCGCCCACCGAAUGCCUAAGGUUUCCUACGGAAGGAUCGUCCACGUAGGGUUAGGCGGGCCUAAGGCUAAGGCGUAAAGCCGAUGCCGAUGGACAGCCGGUUAUUAUUCCGGCCCCAUCUCCACUGACGUUAUGAGACGGCGGGAGGACCCAGGAGGGUAGGUUGAGCGGGCCUAUUGGACAUGGUCCGUCCUUGAUCCGUAGGCGUCUGGGGAGAGGCAAAUCCCUUCCCAGGUUAAGCUGAGGGAUUGAGGGGAGCGGCGACUUCGGUCAAGGCGACUCAGCUAAUCCCACGCUGGCAAGAAAAGCCUCGUCGUCCAGUCAUGGAGAUGUCCGUACCGUAAUCCGACACAGGUAGGCAGGGGUAAGCGCCCUCAGGUGGUCGAGUGACCCCCCGUUAAGGAACUCGGCAAUUUGGCCUCGUAACUUCGGAAGAAGGGGUACCCCUGUCUGUGAACGGGCUAGCCCCGGGAGCGGACGGAGGUCGCAGCGAAGCGGCCCAGCCGACUGUUUAACAAAAACACAGGUCUCUGCCAAAGCGAAAGCUGAGGUAUAGGGGCUGACACCUGCCCAGUGCCGGAAGGUUAAGGGGAGGGCUGAUAAGGCUCAAACUGAAGCCCCGGUGAACGGCGGCCGUAACUAUAACGGUCCUAAGGUAGCGAAAUUCCUUGUCGGGUAAGUUCCGACCCGCACGAAAGGUGUCACGAGUUGGGCACUGUCUCGACGGGGGGCUCGGCGAAAAUGCAGGACCCGUGAAGAUGCGGGUUACCCGCUGCAGGACAAAAAGACCCCGUGGAGCUUUACUGCAGCUUGGUGUUGAAGGCGGGCCAGGGAUGCGUAGGAUAGGUGGGAGGCUAUGAAACCCCAACUCCGGUUGGGGCGGAGCCGCCCUUGAAAUACCACUCUUCCCUAGUUUACCUCCUAACUCCGCGUACAGCGGAAGACAGCGCCUGGUGGGCAGUUUGACUGGGGCGGUCGCCUCCCAAAAGGUAACGGAGGCGCCCAAAGGUCCCCUCAGGCUGGAUGGAAAUCAGCCGUCGAGCGCAUUGGUAUAAGGGGGCUUGACUGUGAGGCCAACAAGCCGAGCAGGGGCGAAAGCCGGGCAAAGUGAUCCUACGGUUCCGUGUGGAAGGGCCGUGGCUUAUCGGAUAAAAGCUACCCCGGGGAUAACAGGCUUAUCUCCCCCAAGCGUUCACAGCGACGGGGAGGUUUGGCACCUCGAUGUCGGCUCGUCGCAUCCUGGGGCUGAAGAAGGUCCCAAGGGUUGGGCUGUUCGCCCAUUAAAGCGGCACGCGAGCUGGGUUCAGAACGUCGUGAGAC